UCUCCCGAAAGGCUGUGAGGAGUCUCAGAGAAUUUCUUUUGAAAAUCAUCUGACUUAACCAAAAUGUGCCUGGCACGCGGAUCCACUUUAAUUCGUCUUUAGCAUCAGGUGUUGAGUCCUGUGAAGAGCUGUGAAAACUAGCACUGCCUCACGUGGGACUGAAAGAAAAUAAACCGACAGGGCAGGAUUUUCAAUGAACUUACAACCUACGACAGAAGCGACCCCAGCUCUUUGGGCCUCUGACUCCUGAAGCCUUUGGCUACUGCACACAGACAAUGGGACAGAGGGGGACCGGUGUGUCCUUUGUCCAGCAUCCUGGUUGUCGAGACAUGAUUCUGUGAACCUCACACAAGGUUCUAUUCAGGAUAAUAACAAUAAUAACUGUUGAGUGACUGAAAGGAGACGUGAAUAAGAAAAGUCAGAUGACCUCACAAAUGUGCACACUAAACGAUCUGCCUCAGGUGCAGGGAGACAGGACACGAUUUGGACUCUGAGCUACCUAGCAGCCUAAGCAAUGAAGGAAAUAAUGAAUUGCCAUGAUAUCCAUGGGAAAAAAAUAAACCAUGGUUUAGAGCACCACAUGGUAUUACUAUCAGUGGGUUUCGUGUUUAUGUCCCUGGACUCCACACUGGACAUUCCAAACCUACAGCAGCGUAGUCUCUGAGGGCAGGACUGCAAAGGCAUCACAAGGCCCUGCUGCAUGGAAAGGGCCAUCCUGCCUCCUACCGUUGCUGCCACUUCCUUGGAGCCAAACCCCAGAGUAAGAGGAGCCUCAAUGGGCUUCAGUGCUGCCCAGGGACACCGCUCUUGGGAGCUUUGUUCCCAACUGGAAGCUGCAGCUGUCCUGAGCCUGAGUUUCCAGGCUCCAGCCAGGGAUGGAGCAUUCAGUAACCUGGGAGAAAGCCCCGACAACCAGGGAAUAACCCAAAGGGAACAGGUAGAAAAUGGUGAAUGCCUCUGAGGUAUUGGAAAAUGCAAAUCACAGGACAGGAUGGGAGCCAUCAAAGGCUGUCCUGUCAGCUCGCUUCAGGAGGCCGGGACAAGAAAGGGAAUCCCUCAGGGCCGGUUCCAAUACCAGAUCAUGGCCCUGGUGGGGGUCCUACAGAUGCUACAAGUCAGAUUGUAACUUUGAUUCAAUUACCAUGGGCUGAACACUCUUUAUACACCUGGGACCGCUGGGGGAGCCACGUGUUCCAGCUCAAUGCAUCCCCGCUCUCAACUCCGAGGCGGGCAUUUUUAUGAUUCAUGUUUUCAGAGUAGGAAACUGAGGCUCAGAGAGGCAGAGGCCUGAGAAACUCACAUCCACUGGUGUUAUGUCACUGCGGCUCCUGCUGCUGCUUCUCUAAGGCCACUCAUCAGAACUCUCCAUUUCCCGGACUGGUAAGGACAAGCUCAGCUGUGACUGCGUGUACAGUCCUCUUCCAGUGCAAGACAAGGCUUGACAAGUCAUAAACGGACCUUUUGAACAAUACAAAAAAAUGAGAUUGCUGGAUCAUGAAAGUGCAAGUAACUUUGCUCCCUUUUGCAUUCUCUUCUUCCUUCCAGCCCAAGUAUUUUAUAAAGUGUGUGCCAUGUCUCCUUCCCAGGCACGAGGGUCUAGGAGGUGAGCGCCACACAGGCCCUGUGCUCGAGAGCUCACACUCCACUGAGGAGACAGACGAGCAGUUGGGGAUUUCCACACACCAACAGGAAGGGCUAGCACGGGGUGCCGUGAGGCCACAGAGGAAGCCCCCCGCCCCCAUGGGUACACGGGUUCCACCUGCCCGAGAAGUUAGAUGUGAAGAAGGCGGAGUGGAAUGCAGCUCAGAGAUUGCCUGUUGGACGCAGAGAGCUGACAGUCUAGAACGGAGAGUCCAUCCUGAAAGAACACGGUACCGUGAGAGCCCCCAGAACAUCUAUUUCUUCAUCUGUAAAAUGGGGUGUGAGAUUUACUGAAUUUUAUUUUAUUUAAUACAUUUUUAUUGAAUAAAUUUUAUUUAAUACUGUU